rnacentral:rRNA from 1 species
AUACGGAGGAUCCGAGCGUUAUCCGGAUUUAUUGGGUUUAAAGGGUGCGCAGGCGGGAGAUUAAGUCGGCGGUGAAAUUUUGCAGCUCAACUGUAAAAGUGCCUUCGAAACUGGUUUCCUUGAGUGUAGAUGAAGUAGGCGGAAUUUGUGGUGUAGCGGUGAAAUGCAUAGAUAUCACGAGGAACUCCGAUUGCGCAGGCAGCUUACUAAACUACUACUGACGCUCAGGCACGAAGGCGUGGGGAUCAAACAGGAUUAGAUACCCUGGUAGUCCACGCAGUAAACGAUGAUUACUAGCUGUUUGCGAUACACAGUUAGAGGGUACGAGAAAUCAUUAAGUUAUCCACCUGGGGAUUACGUUCGCAAGAAUGAAACUCAAAUGAAUUGACGGGG